ensembl:lncRNA
GCCGCCUCCCCCAGACCUCCCCCGAGUGGCUGCUGACACACAGAGGCCCCAAGGCCAAGGGCCCAUCUACCCCCGAGCCCCCGGUGGCCGCCACGUGCCGGACCUCAGUUUCGAUGAGGAGACGGUAGUGAGUUCUCACUCAUUUUGUUCAGAUUUCCAAGGAAUGCUUUAGAGGGAGUCAUCAUCGAUCCGAGCACGGGCUCCGCCGCCGCAAGGCAAAUUCACGGCCUCCGCACCUGGACAUCCCACCCGCUCCAUCACGGCAGCGUUUGGGGGCGUGCCCAGACAGACGAGCCACUGGGCAGGACGGGACGCUGGCAUGCCGGGGCCAAAGCCCGCGAGAAGCGGGGGUGGCCCGGGGCUCCGGACAGACGAGCGCCCCAAGGGCGAGUUCUCCACCACUGAGGACAGGGGCCGCUCACCAUCGCCAGGUCUCCACAGAGCCGCGACAAGGACGCCACGCCCACUGGUCUGCGGGAGCUCCUCGGCCUCGCUCGGUGGCACGCCACAAGAUCAGGGGUCCGCCAUGCUGCUCUCCUGGGUCAGGGCGAGAGAGCACACACACCACAAGGGUUUCCACAAGGAGGAAGGGCCACGCUGGCGCCAGGGGACCAGGGCCCCUCCACCUGGAGACCCGCACUGCAUCGGGCUGCCACGGCUCCCCAGCCUCCCCAGCCUCCCCUCUCUCUGGGUGUCUGCAGCCACACGGACCCUGCCUGGGGGCCGGGCGCGGGGGGUGGUGCAGGCCCGGCCUUCACAGAGGCGUGCCAGGGGCACAGAGAGAGGCCCCGGCAUUCUUCUCCCACGUCCCAGGGCCCGAAAGAUGGAUCCCCAAGGCCGGCUCCCCGCCCCCCAACACGGCAACAAGGUGCCCCACGGAGGCACAUUCAGGCCCACUGGGGCAACCUGCGCCACACCCCCGACACGACCGGGAAACCCAAACCCCUGGCACCUCCUCUGCCUCAGGACUUCCGCCAGGACUCACCGCCCCUGCGGAAACCCUCUCUCUUCCUUUGUUCUCUCCCUCUCUCUCUCUCCCUCUCGGUCCCACCCGCUGUCACCCUUUCCCUGCGAGCGCGCGCGCACCGAAGCUUUCUCUCCUUUGCUGGACCCAUCCGACGCACGAUCAGCCACUUGCCCUCACAAGAGUCUGUCCGUGCCAGCCGGCUCUCCAGGAACCCCAGCACGGGCGCACUGAUGCUACCCUGCCCUGACGAAGGGUGACGGCCACCAACUCCCCUUGACCUCUCCAUGAUGCGGAAUCCCCUCAGCGCCCGUAAGACCCCCCCGGAGCCGUUCCCGUGCCCAGCAGCAGGCACGAACCCCCUGACGAGACGUGGUCGCUACCCGGCGGGUCCCGCCCGCCCCACGCCCCUCCCAGGCCCGACCACACACCAACCGGGACACCCAAGUCGGCCGGGAGACACGGCUCAAAUCCCCACAGGGCGUGGGACAUUCCCCCAAACAGCCGGGACUCCUGAACGGGCCAGGCCUUCCAGGGCCUCAAGCCCCGGGCCUUCCUGGCAAGCACGCGGCCGCCGGGCCUCAUCAAAGCCCUCUGUCACCGUCGGGGCCAGGACACCGCCACCGCUGCCCAAGCCCAGGCCUCCCGUCUCCGCUCGCCAUCAAGCCGCCCGCCGCAGGACCCGGACACCCGCCCCGAGCAGCCUCCCAGGCACUGCCAGCUGAGAGACGUCCCUGGCCGCCGACCUCCCCGCUCUGCCCAGGCCCCCGCGCGGCGACCUGGGCGAAGCGCUCCACGCGGCGCGGGUGGCUCGCUCUGCCGGGCAGACCACCCCCUCCAGGGCGUCCAAGGGCUCGGCAUCGGACCCUCCAGGGAGAGGGAGACCGUGCACCGGGAAGGACUCCGACCCGUGGCCUCCCAAAGGACCCCCCCAAGGUGCGGUCAGCGCCGCGGCCCAGGGACCUGGCGGCUGCCUUCCCCAGACCCCCACGGGGAGCCACGCCUCCCAGAGGAGAGGCCACAUGCAAGACCGUCCCCGCCCCUGCCCGCGCGGUCCUUCCCGACCCGGGCCUCCCACAGCCGCUGACGCCAUCCCACUUGAGGCCAGGGCACCUCCUCCAGAGCCCCUCGCCCAUCCAGACCUGGGCCUGUCCACCCACGUCCCCGGCAGGCUCCCUCUGCCCGCCUGUCGCUCACCACUUCAGCUGCCCCCUUCUCGCCACCCAGCCCCAGCCUCCGCCCCCACAUCCCUGGACGUCCCAGGGGAGCGCCCUCAGGGGUUCCCAGGCUCCCCCCCUCCCAUGGGGGACGGCCCUGAUCCAAGGGCCCCCGCUACCACAGACCCCCUGCAGCAGGUGGCCCUCAGGGGUCCCCAGAGCAGAAAGAGAACACUACCCUGCCGGGAUCCCGUCUCCCCACAGCAUCCUGAGAAGGGCGCCGGGCCUGGGCCAGGACGCUCCCUGGGGCCCUAGGGCCGCACACUUGCCUCUCGUGCCGGGCCCAAAUUUCGGCCCCCGCGACGGCUUGCGAAACCCCCCAAGGCCGGCGGGAGGCCGCCCGGGAUCUCCAGCACGCUCGGGCACGCGGCCUCUCCCCCGAGGCCAGCGCCGGGCGACGGGCCCCAUGCUUCCUGGGCCCGGCAGGCGGCCGCCUUCCCCAGACCUCACCCGAGUGGCUGCUGACACACAGAGGCCCCAAGGCCAAGGGCCCAUCUACCCCCGAGCCCCCGGUGGCCGCCACGUGCCGGACCUCAGUUUCGAUGAGGAGACGGUAGUGAGUUCUCACUCAUUUUGUUCAGAUUUCCAAGGAAUGCUUUAGAGGGAGUCAUCAUCGAUCCGAGCACGGGCUCCGCCGCCGCAAGGCAAAUUCACGGC